UGCUGGUUACUCACACAAUCGAAAGUUUUCUGGUUGUUGACAAAACAACGCCUGGUGAACGCUCUGGAAAACACGUAACUACGGCUCUCUUGUAAAGUAAACGUUUACAAGUUUUACAUUUUUCUGAUUUUGAUGCCAUUCAUCAAGUUCUAUUUAUUUCAAAUGUUUUAUCAGUGAUCCAGGAAACAUGGGCGAGGAAGAAAAUGAGAUACCGGACACAGGAGCAGUCUUCACGUUCGGGAGGAGUCGUUUCGCAGAGAACCUACCAAGUCAUUUCUUUAUUCGAAAUGAUCCCGUUGUAGACAUAUCCUGUGGGGAAGAGCACACUUUGGUUGUAUGCCAAAAUGGAAGAGUGUUUGGCUUUGGAGGGAACGAAUUUGGUCAGCUUGGAUUGGGAACAACUUCUCCUGUAUCAAAGCCUAGUUGUAUCAAGAGUCUGAAACCAGAAAAAGUCAAGAGAAUAAUAUGCGGAAAAACGCAUUCCUUGGCUCUUACAGGGAACGGAAAAUUGUACGCUUGGGGGAACAACAGUGAUUGUCAACUGGGUAUUGGAAGUGAGGAGAACUGUAGCACCCCAAAACAAGUGGAAUUGAAUGAUGUCAACGAGCCUAUAGCCAGCUUAACAGCAGGAGCACAGCAUUCUGCUUUAUUGACUGAUGGAGGCAAGGUUUACAUAUGGGGCAGCAACUCUUGUGGUCAACUGGGUCUGAGCGAUGGAAUCAAGAAAUGCAGCAAACCAACACGACUCGCUGUCAAGGAGAAAGUGUUGCAAAUUGCAUGUGGAUAUAUGCACACACUCAUGCUUACAGAGGAGAAAUACUUGUUGGUGUUUGGAGAAGGCUCAUCAGGCAAGCUGGGUCUUGGAGGAACCAGUUCAGUUCCCAUGCCAAUACCUCUGAAAUUCGACAAAAACGUCACUUCAAUUGCUGCUGGGGGUAAUCAUAGUCUAGCACUAACAGAUGAAGGCGACGUAUAUGCGUGGGGCAAUAACGAGCACGGUCAGCUUGGAUUUUCUGAAGAGAAGACUGAGAUUACCAAUCCGAUUCUGGUCACACCUUUGCUGAAUGUCCGGGUCGCCCAGAUUGCAUGUGGACAGAGCCAUUCUGCAUUCACUUCUGAUAAUGGCGAACUGUACACUUGUGGCGAAUCAAAGUAUGGCAAACUCUGUUCUGAUUCAGAAUUGAAAUCUGAUAUAAUGGGCUCGAGGACGUUGCCGUUCAAGGUCAAUCGCUUCAAGACACUCAAAGUUCAAAAGGUGGCUUGUGGAGGCUGUCACACUAUGGUGCUGGCAAUUCCAACCAACAGGCAAAAACAGGGACAAGUGAAUGGGAUUGUUGAUAAAACUAACAAGGAGAACGACUUAGCCAAAAAAGGUAUAUCGGAGACCUCAAUCGAAGGACUGUCUGAUAUUUCAUCAACACCGCGUAAAACCAGUAGAACCUCUCUACCACCUCUGCAGAAGGUUGUCAUCCCAAAGAAAGAGCCAGACUCUCCAGAAUCGCUUCCUAACGAUUUCAACAUGAAAACAAACGGAGAAGAGAAGUUGAUUGGUGAUGAUAAACAAAAUGAAAAUCGAACAACUGAGGAAAAUCCACAAGAAAAUUGUAAGAACUCCCCAACAAGUGUUAGAAACGAUAUAAUAACAGAAACUCCGAAGGAAGAAUACAUUAUGAACGAGGAGUUACCAGAGAAUGGGGAUACAGUUUCAAAUGAUGGAUCAGAUGCUUCGAAUAAUAAAGAGUUGGAAGAGAAAAAUAAUAAAGAAGAUCCAGCACCAAAGGAAACACCAAUUACACCAGAUAAUGUAAGUACACGAUUUCCCAAUAACAGUUUGUCCUAUGUUCGACGAGUCACAAUUCAUCGUCAGCAAUCCCCCAAGGAUUUCAAAAAUGAAUUGGAAUCGAGAAAGAGAAAAUCGACGGCUUUAUCCCUGGAGGAUGGCAAAAUCGGUUAUGAAGUUUGCGAUAAAACUAACCAUGAGUUUAGUACAAGUUUACCUUGUUUGAAUGGUGGUUUAUCAUCACUCGAAAAUGACGUGACCCUGGAAAAAAUUGUAUCAAUUGAUAAAGCUGACACUAAAAUAAGAUUAGAGUUGAUGGAUAAUGUGGUUAACCAAAACUGCUCAAACUCGUGUGGCUUGAAUACAACCUGUGAUACAGAUUUCAAAUAUGAAGGAAAGACCGACGAAAAACCAACAGAAUAUUAUGAAAUGUGUGAGAAAAACAUUGAAGACCAAGUACUGUUAAACCAAUCUGAAAUGAGAAAUUCUUUGGGAAAAGAUAGUGAACUAUUUUCUAUGCCCAGAGAGAUGCUGGAUACAACCACAAUAAACUUUGAAAAAGAUGGGAAAAUAUUCUCCAGUCCUGGGAAUAAUAUGCAAUGUUUGCUAGCUUUCAAGUUGAAUCAAUCAAAAAUAAAUGAGUUUGAUAAAGACAUUUUGAAUAAGGAGAGUGAUCAUGCUGAGACUUGUGAAUGUCAUUACAGGAAAGAUUCUGAUUCAAUGCAAAGUAUUUUGUAUAAUAGUUGGACGCGUCGCAAUCAAAAUAAAAUGAUGGAAGAAGAGAGUUGGCCAAAAGAAUUUGAGAAUCUAACAUUGGAAGGAUAUUUGAAUGCCGAAGACAAUGGGGAUAUGGAAAAAUUCAUUGGAGAGGAGGAGGAAGAUAGAUUAUCUGAAAUAAUUAGUGUUGCUUCAAAGAGUGUGGAAACAUUUUGUCACGAGAUUAGUCAUAAUGAUGAGAAUAGUACUGGAAAAAUUAAUAUGUCUUCAGAAGGGUCGAGUGUUGGAAGUAAACCCAGAGCAUUGAGAGAUAAAAUUCAAAACAAUGAUGAAGAGAACCAGGAUUUUGUUUGGGUACAAGAGCGAAAAUUCAAUGAUGAACUUGAAGAUAAAGAGGAUAAUUUCCCACAAUCAAACUCCUGUACACGAACAAACAGUUAUGAAUUUGAAUAUGUUACCACCAGGAAUAAGUUGCGUUGUUCAAUGUCCUGCCCGCAUUCUCCAUUGAAAUUUGAAGAUAUCAGGCAGAAUGAACAAAACAUGUUUUGUAAAUCUGGAAGUUCAUCAGUGACUCAAGUUAGUCAAACAAAUAACUUAAGGAGGAAGAUGUUUGUGGAGAACGAGUAUGCAAGGUCAAAUUUUUCAAUGGAUUCAAUCAGAAAUAUGAGUGAUGAUGAAGAUGAAUUUGAUUUGGUUGUGAAUGGUAGGAGGUUUGAAAUGGAAGAGAAUAGUUUUUUCAAUGAAGAGGAAAAGAGAAAUCAAGUUUGAGUCAUAAAACAAUGAUUGGUGCAUCUACUGUUUCAAGUAAAAAUAAUUCUGUACAUGAUUUUUCUGAGGAUAGUUUGGUCAGUAGAGGUGCCUUGAGUCAUUUUUCUGGCAUUCAUCAAUGUAGAUUGUGUGGAACUAUGUUUGAUGGAAAAACUGGGGGAAAAAUUGAAGCUCAAUUAGAAACUAACAUCAAUCCACAAAAAAGUACGAGCAGUAUAUUCAAUAACAUACGCACCAACCUGAAAAGCAUGUUUCAGAAAACUAAAAAUAUCACUACCAACUAUUACAAAUGCAAUUUAGUUCAAAGACCAAAAAUUGAAGAAUUUGAAAAGCUCAAAGACAGAAGUGAAGUGUUCCAUAAUGGAGCCUAUGAUGAGGAAACUGUCGCACAUUGGAUGAAUAAUGAGGCUGAGGGAAAAACCGAGAGAAAUUUUGGAAAUGGAGAGGGAGAUUCGGAAAAUUUCAAGAACAAUCCAGUUUUGAAUAUGGAUGACAAUUGGGGAGAAUGUUGUUUGAAGAUGAUAUUCAAAGGAAAUGAUGUUCCAGAAAUGAUCUCUGACGAAACAGGAAGUGCAGCUGAUUUGAGCAGUACUAUUUCAGUGAUAAGUCCUGCAAGUGAAAGGAAGGUAGACACAACCAGUAGUGCCAAAUCACAACCUGAAGAUGAGAUAAAAGAGGACACAAAUGCUCACCAAGAAGAGAUAGAGAAAUCUGAAUCACCAGUUUCAGAAAACAAGGACGAAGCUACCCCUGAGAACAAAAAAGAAAAAGAAACAAACGAUGAGACAAAGAGGAAGAGUCCUAAACAAAAAGA